GACAGAGGUGCCAAGCGUUAGGCGGAAUCACUGGGCUUAAAGCGUGUGUAGGCGGAUCGUUAAGUACCUUGUGAAAUCCCACGGCUUAACCGUGGAACGGCUGGGUAUACUGGCGAUCUUGAGCCACCUAGGGGCGAGCGGAACAAAUGGUGGAGCGGUGAAAUGCGUAGAUAUCAUUUGGAACGCCAAAGGUGAAAACAGGUUGCUGGGGUUGUGCCGACGCUGAGACACGAAAGCCAGGGGAGCAAACGGG
rnacentral:rRNA from 1 species